UUUCCCCGCGGGGGGGGCGCGUGUGGCCCGCUCCGGGCUGGAGCGCUCACCGACAGCGGCAGCCUCCCCUGGCGGCGGGUAAAGACGAGAGCGGCCGCCGCUGGGCGGGGACAGCCGGAGCCCUCCUGCGCGGGGCUACGGGCUUCCCCCUCCCCCGCGCUGUGUUCAGUGGUAUCGCCCCAGCGGCCGACUGCGGCGCGGCCGUCACCGGGCGGGAGGGGUUGUGGUUUGGGUGGUUGGUUUUUUGGUUUUUUUUUUUGCUCCCUCCUGUUGCCAUAGAGACUGCGGGGUGCCGCCCCCCCCCCCCCCCGUCCCGCGCCGGGCUGGGACACGUCGCCGCCGCCGCCGCCCCGGGAGGUCUGCGGGGCCCUCCGCAGUUUACCAGGAAAUUCCACCUUGCUAUGAGAACCAGAAAUGGAUCCAGAAGAGCAGGAGUUACUUGGUGAUUACAGAUACAGAAAUUAUUCUUCAGCGAUUGAGAAAGCUUUGAGAAACUUUGAAUCAUCAAGUGAAUGGGCGGAUCUUAUAUCUUCACUUGGCAAACUCAAUAAGGCUCUUCAGAGUAACUUGAAGUAUUCUCUGUUGCCAAGACGGCUGAUAAUCAGUAAAAGAUUAUCUCAGUGUUUGCAUCCAGCACUACCUAGUGGAGUACAUUUAAAGGCAUUAGAAACCUAUGAAAUAAUCUUUAAAAUUAUUGGGACAAAAUGGCUUGCCAAGGAUUUAUUCUUGUACAGCUCUGGUUUGUUUCCUCUGCUGGCAAAUGCAGCAAUGUCAGUGAGGCCUGUUCUCCUUGGUUUGUAUGAGAAAUACUUUCUUCCUCUCCAAAAGUCCCUCCUGCCUGGUCUUCAAGCCUUUCUAAUUGGACUGCUGCCUGGAUUGGAAGAAGGAUCAGAAAUUUAUGACAGAACAGAUGCUGUGCUUGUGAAGCUCUCAUUGUUGAUGGGCCAAGAAGUGUUCUAUGGAGCACUCUGGGGUGGUGUCCUGGUCAGCCCAUCCAUCAGGCUGCCUGCUUCUCUUUUUGUUGUCAGUCAUAUCAACAGAGAGCUGUCUGGAAAACAGCAGAAGUACAUGCUUGGCGCUGAUUAUAAGCUCACAAUAAAGUCUUUGUGUGUAUCAGUAUUGGAUUCAAAUGUCCUUGUGCAAAGAAACACUUUAGAAGUGAUUCUCUUCUUCUUCCCAUUUUAUACAGCUUUGGACUGCAAUGAAAGCAGUAUUCUAUUGCACAGGACUGAUUUAGUCUAUAUUCUGUCAGCAGCUACACAGACAUUGUUGAGGAGAGACAUGUCACUCAAUAGAAGAUUAUACGCAUGGUUGCUAGGCUCUGAUAUUAAAGGUGGUACUUUUGCUCCAGACUCAACUUCUGAAGACCAUGCUAUUUAUUUCUUUGGAAAAUAUUCUAAAGAUCUUUUGGUUGAGAGUUUGACUGAAAUUUUACAUCAGAAAUUCCCAGAGUCUGAUACAGAGGAACAGCAUCAAGCUUAUCUGAAACCCUUCCGCAUCCUAAUCAGUCUCCUUGACAAACCUGAAAUAGGGCCGCAGGUGGUUGGGGAUUUGUUCCUUGAAGUUAUUAGAGCCUUUUAUUCCUACUGCAAAGAUGCACUUGGUUCUGAUCUCAAACUUAGCUACAAUCAAAGUGGCAACAUACUUGCAAGCGCAAUCAAAGAGAACAAAAAUGCUUCGGAAAUUGUCAAAACAGUCAAUUUGUUGAUCACAUCCUUAAGCACGGAUUUUCUUUGGGAUUACAUGACCAAAUGUUUCGAAGAUUGUUUCAGAAACAAAUCCACACAGAUGAGAUAUCCUCUUGAAAAUAUUAGCACUCCUCCUACAAUUUCAGAGCUCUGCACACUAUUGGUGUUUCUUCUUGACGUGAUUCCUUUGGAACUCUACUCUGAAGUACAGACUCAGUAUCUUCCACAGAUGCUCAGUUAUAUGGUGCAGUCUCUCCUGGAAAAUAUGGAAGUAUUAGGUUUACCAGAACUCACUCAUGCCUUGAAGACCUGUUUUAAGGUGCUUAGCAAAGUUCAAAUGCCCCCUUCCUAUUUGGACAUUGAGACAGGAAGUGGAAAUGGGAGCCCAGUGAAAAACAAAAAUGUGGACAUAACCUUGGAGUCUAACUCUGUGCUGCAGGAGGAGGAUGAGACUCCAUUCCCUCCCCUGAAGUCAGAAGACAGUGGCAUUGGUCUAAGCACUUCCUCCCCAGAGCUCUCUCAGCACUUGGGGGUGCCAAGUGUGACCCUUGAGAGAGAUGAUGUCUGGAAGAAAGGGGGGAGCAUUCAGAAGACUUUGUAUUGCAUCCAAGAGCUGGUUGCCAAGUUUUCCAGUAAAUAUGUUUUUGGGGUGCAAUUUCAAGAAACAAGUAAUGAAAGCAUCUCAGCAAUGAAUCUGAGUGGAAAAGAGAAAAAAGAUAAUGGCUACAGAUUACCUGAAAGUGCUAGCAAGAAAAAGAGCCCAUGGGAUGCAAAGCAAAUCACCGUACCUCAGUUUAAACAAAUGCUUUCAGACUUGUUCUCAGUUCGAGGGUCACCAUUCAAGAACAAGAGUUCUAAUCCUCUUCCUUCUGACUGCAUCUCUGGUAAUAAGAAGGAAAAGGAGGAGGAAGAGUGGGACUUGGAACAAGUGAUGCUUGUCUUGGGACCCCUUAGAGGGGACUGCAAGGAAGCUUUCGCUGCAGCUUGUCACCUUUUGUUGGAUUGUACCACAUUCCCAGUCUAUCUUUCGGAGGAGGAGAUGGAACAGUUGUAUCUCUCUCUUUUUCAGGUUCCUGGAGGUUGUGAUGCCAGCUUCCCUCUGUGGCUGAAGUCCUUAAUGACAAUAUGCUGUUGUGUGAGUGACUGCUAUGUUCAGAACGUGUCCAUCUUCACACUGCUGGAGGUGAUCAACCAUUCCCAGUCACUGGCACUUGUGAUAGAAGACAGAAUGAAGCGGUACAAAGUGUCUGGCCACAACCCCUUCUUUGGAAAGCUACAGAUGGUCACCCUUCCUCCCAUUGCUCCUGGAGUUCUAAAGAUCAUCUCAGAGAAAACAGAUUUCUACCAGAGAGUAGCUUGCGUGCUCUGGAAUCAGCUGAACAAAGAGACACGGGAGCAUCAUAUUGCCUGUGUGGAACUGUUCUACAGGCUGCACUGCUUGGCACCAUCAGCAAAUAUCUGUGAAGACAUUAUCUGCCACGCACUUCUGGAUCAUGAUAAAGGGACAAGGCUGGAAGCACUGUUCAGAUUCUCUGUCAUGUGGCAUCUGACCAGAGAGAUCCAAGGCAGCAGAGUGACUUCUCACAAUCGGUCCUUUGAUAGGUCUCUGUUUGUGGUACUGGACAGUCUCAAUUGUUCAGAUGGUGCAAUUGGUGCUGCAGCACAGGGCUGGCUGAUCCGUGCUCUUUCACUUAAUGAUGUUGCACGGAUUCUUGAACCAGUCCUGCUGCUGCUGCUUCAUCCAAAGACACAGCGCACGUCCAUCCACUACAUCAAACAGAAAAAUUCAGCAGAAGAUAUACAUGAUUGGCUUUGCAAGAAAAAGGCCUCUUUGAAAGAGUCUGGCAUCUCUGAGUGCAAUUCCGAGGAAAACCUUCCAUUGAGCCAGUUUACUACUGUGGAUAGAGAAGCAAUUUGGGCAGAAGUGGAAAAAGAUCCAGAGAAGUUGGAGUUAAAAAUUGAACAGUCUGAAAAUGAUGGCUCUUGUAAUCCAGUAACUUCACAUGAAGCAGAUGAUGACCAAGAUAAUAGUGAGCACACAGAAUCAGCAGACACCAGCACAGGCCGUGACAGUGAAAAUACAUCCUCUUUUUCUCCUUCUCUGGAGCUGCAAGAAGUGAGCAAUGAGGACAAUGACAGUGCUGCAACCGAUGGAAAAGAGACCACAAACCACGUGAAUUCUCUCAAUGCGUUCCUUCCUGAAAGCUCCAAAUCCAGUGUAGCGCUAAACCUUGUGCGUGCUGACUCUGAGAGGACUCAAGCAUCAGAGUCUCUGUCAAGUGAUGAAGAGGUGGACUUGGAGCUCCAGGAAAUUACCCAUUCUAGGUUGCUCAAGCAGCAGAAGGAAAAGCAGGAGAUGAUUGAGGCUCUGUUCAAACACAUGCUGCUAUAUUUGCAGCCUUAUGAUUCUAAGAGGGUAUUGUAUGCUUUUUCUGUUCUGGAGGCAGUGCUUAAAACAAACCCUAAAGAAUUUAUUGAAGCCGUAGCUAGUACAAGCAUGGAUACCAGCUCCACAGCACAUUUGAAUCUUAUUUACAAUCUCUUAGCUCGCCAUCAGGAAGCUCUUGUAGGACAGAGUUUUUAUGGCAAGCUUCAGACUCAGUCCCCAACCAUGUGUCCCCAUUCUCUUCUAAUAGAAUUGCUCACUUACCUCUGUCUCAGUUUUCUGCGCUCGUAUUAUCCGUGCUACUUGAAGGUUACGCACAGAGAUGUGCUUGGCAACAGAGAUGUUCAGGUAAAAAGUGUGGAAGUCCUGAUUAGAAUGAUGACCCAGCUAGCUACUAUGGCAAAGGCAGCAGAGAAUAAGAAUGUGGAGUUCAUACGCAAUUUGCUAGGAAGAUGCAAAAUUCAGGAGUUUGUUCUUCUUUCUUUGUCUGCAUCUAUGUAUACAAGUCAGAAACGGUAUGAACUGCUUAUGGCAGAUGGAGUUAAUAAUGUUCCUGAAGAAGACCUCUUUGAAGAGAGCGUAAUUAAUUUUGGGCAUGAUCAAAUAUGGAGCGAACACCCACUCCAGAUUGAGUUGCUGAAGCUCUUGCAGGUAUUGAUUGUCUUGGAGCACCAUCUUGGACAGACUCAUGAGGAGCAGGAGAAUCAGCCAGACCUCUCUAAGGAAUGGCAGCAGGCUCUUAAUUUCCAGCAGGCAAUUGGUGCAAUGCAAUACGUCUAUCCGCACCCAAUAACUUCACAGGGAUUAUUCGUCUCUGCUGUGGUUAGAGGUUUGCAACCAGAGUAUGGCUAUGGGAUGCAUCCCACUUGGGUAGGCUUAGUCACAUGUUCCCUGCCCUAUUUUGGGAAGUCUUUGGGCUGGACUGUGGCACCAUUUGUUGUACAGAUAUGUAAAAACCUGGAUGAGCUUGUCAAACAGUAUGAAAAUGAAGCUGUGAAGACAUCUGCAAAAACAUCUGCAAGCAUAACUUCUAAAAGAGAAAAUGUUACACCUGAUUACCCACUAACCCUUUUGGAAGGUCUGACAACCAUCGGUCACUUCUGCCUUCUGGAUCACCCUAACCAAACUAAAAAGUCAUCAUGUUUAGCUGAACCUGCAAACCUGAGAAAUGCUAGGAAUGCCAUUUUGGAAGAAUUGCCUCGCAUUAUUAAUACCAUGUCCCUUCUUUGGAGCGUUAUAAAGAGGGAAGACUCUCAAAAAAGACCAACUGACUUCUUUGGAACAACUAAAGGCUCUUCUUCAGUCUACUUUAAAGCAACCAAAGUAACAUUAAGAACUAAAAUACUGGACUUCAUGAAUCCAUUGACAGCACAACUUGGAAUCCAGUUGAUGGCAGCAAUUGCAGCAGUAUGGAAUAGCAAGAAACCUCAUAGGAAUCAAAGUAAAAUCAAGAUUCUUCCAGUGGCUAGUGCAGCUCAGCUUAUUCUUGUGGACUUAAUAUGUGCACUUAACACAUUGAAAAUUGACACUAUAUUACAUCUAGUCAAAGAGGUAGUCAAGAAACCAUCACAAAUCAAGGGCGAAGAGAAAUCUUCUCUUGUAGAUAUUCCAGUGCUGCAGUUCAGUUAUGCUUUCAUUCAAAGACUGCCUGUCUCAGCCUUGCAGGAGAACUUCCAGUCCUUAUUAGGACUUCUCAAAGAGUCUGUGCAGUUGAACUUGGCUCCUCCUGGACACUUUCUUCUUCUCAGUACUCUGAAUGACUUUGUGACUAGGACGCCUACUCUAGAAAACAAAAAAGACCAAAAAGACUUGCAGGAGGUGACCCAAAAAAUCUUGGAGGCUGUAGGGACGGUUGCUGGUUCUUCUCUGGAACAGACUAGCUGGCUGAGCCGGAACUUAGAAGUGAAAGCUCAGCCUCAGAUUUUACCGGAUGACUUCAACAUUGAAGAUGUGAAUGAUACAUCAGUGGCACCAUCUUCGAUGAUUUCUGCCUCUGCUCCUUCGAUAUACAGUGUCCAAGCUCUUUCUCUCCUUGCAGAAGUUCUUGCUUCUCUUUUGGACAUGGUUUACCGGAGCGACGAGAAGGAGAAAGCUGUGCCAUUGAUUUCACGUUUGCUUUAUUAUGUCUUUCCUUAUCUACGCAACCACAGAAGGGCAACAAGGAAACAAUGCCACUGCUGAGUCUUUCCUGUGAAGCGGUCAAAAGUUUGUUGGUAGUCUGGAUGAAGACCAGGACAGCAAUUGGAGAUAAGGAACAGCACAGCAGACGUGCCCACUGCAGAAAACUAGAAGAAAUCUUCAAGUACCCACUCACCGCCAAGCCUGCAGCCCAUUUCAGCUCAAUUCUGAGUGUCACCAUGCAGUAGUAUCUAGAGCGGUGCAUGCUGUCCCUGAACCCUACAGGAUGGUCUGGGCAGGAGCACAUCCAUGGACCGUUUACAUCCAUGGACCGUUUACAUCCACGGACUCCUUUCCACACCACAGCUGGCUUCAGGAGAGCUGUUGGUUAAAACCCAGAGUCCCCUGAAGAGGGAGUUGCAGCACAUGUCCCUCCACCUUGUUCCCAUGCCGCUGUGGGCAGGAGGCAGUAUGCGCCCCACAGGGCUAUCUUUGAGCACCCAGAGGCCAAGACAGCACUGCAGAGGAGGAAGAUGACAGAGGCUGUAGUGGAAAGGCAUCUACAGGAUGCUGAGCAUGACUGACACGACUCAUGUGAUACCAGCCUGGCAAAAGCUUGGGAGCGGGAGGCUCUGCAGAGGUGGGAGAAGGACAGCCCCAGCAGGAGGACCAGUGAACUAUCUUCCCUGGCGGUGGUGGUUGCUGGGCACUUGCUGGAAGAAGCAGCUCUGCCUGCUGCCGACCUUCUCAUGGCUGAUGCCUGGGUGGACAGCAGAGCCCCCAUCCAUGUGGGCAAGUCAGGUUAGAAGGCUGAGGUGUGGUAAAAAGCACGGGAACUAUAAGGCCCUAUCCUGUCCUCUCCAUUCCCACCAGCAUUGUGCUAGUUAGGCCUUGUUGGCCAAAUUCUGUUAAUUUUGUCUCUGUAUAGGCCCUGUUGGCCCACAGGGCAAUGUACAUGGUUGUGUUUGUCCUCUCCUCCAUUUCCAUUCUAAGGUAUGAGCUGUAUUUCCCCCAGGAACUGAAACCUUUUCUUGUUUGAGCUUUGUGACAGCUGUUUGUUUAGCUGUAGUGUUCCUCCCAUCUGGGUUUUUGGCCUUUACUUAAAGCUCCCCUUUCUGUGUAUGUUAGCAUACAGCCACCACUGAAACUGUUUCUGGAACGCUGUCAUCACUCUGCUGUGCUGGGCCUGCUGUGAGCCAGUGGCUGUAAGCCAAACACUCAUCCCAUCUCUGCCCCAUGGGUGGAAACAGCAUAGUUAAAAUUGGCAUGGACACCACUGCUGUCAGGAUGUCCUUGUGAACUGGUGCAGAGGAUAAAUGACAACUUCUGCAAUGCAAAUGAAGAUCUGAAUGCCAGGAGUCAGCCAGCUUUUUAUUUUCUUGCAAGGAAGAUACUACCAUCCCCUUUGAUCUGAGACUGAUGGUUCAAAAGACAUGAGCAUCAGAAUCCUGAUGAAGUUGCUGAGAUGCCUACAGAUGUCUCUUGAUGGUUCUGCAGUGUCAGCCUGGCAAGGCCAGUGGUCCUUGUGAUCUGUUUAGCCAUAACCAUAGCGAGAUGGUCACUGGUUAAAAUGUGGAGCCCUCAUCAGGCCCACAGAUGUGCUGGAUGAUUUUCAUGUUACUCAUAUGUGCUGCUCAGCAGUUGGACUAUAACCUCCAAGACUUUCUUCAUGCCUCUGUCCUCCUCAGCUUGGCAGUAGUUUGGUUGCAGGGCUCCAUAAAAAUGCAGUAGCCUCCCCCUUGAUAACACAGGGGCUGCUGAAGACUUCGGUGAAGGUGAUGACAUGAGAACUGAUGCGUGUUAUCUGGGUGACAGAUGAAGUCUAGUGUGGUACCUUCUAAAGGGGCCUGCUGACAAGGAUUCAAAGCCUAUUGGAAACUUUGUUUUGGAGAAGGUUUGAACCACAUCUGUGGUGGAGACAGGCAGUGCUGUGCUGUGAUACAUCUAAUCUGAAAAUAUCUCCCUGAACCAGUGCCUACAACAUUCCUAGUUUUCGUGCUGGUGCUCAGUUGCUCAGCUCAUUGAGUGGAUACGCCUAUACAAAGCGAGCCUGGAAGAAAGAAGUUGUCGAGUUGUUUAUGGAUCCAGCUUUUUUCCAGAUGGACACUUCAUGCACUCAUUGGAGAUCCAUUAUUGACCAUCUUCUAACACAUGAGAAAACUAUGUUUAAAGAUUUGAUGAGUAAGU